GGUAGGGUCAGCGACUGGGGUGAAGUCGUAACAAGGUAGCCGUAGGGGAACCUGUGGCUGGAUCACCUCCUUUCUAAGGAUGAUCAAGAAUUGGAAGCUUUCAGAAAUGAGCGCAUUCCUUUUUGAUCUCAUUAGACACUGGUUUAAACAAGUCAGUUUAAACCGUGCAUAUGACACUAACUCUUAACAAUACCCUCUCUCAAAAGAGAACCCUCUUAUAAAGAGGCCCUAAUCUCUUGAGGCCCCUACCUCCGAUGGGAAGGUGUUCAUGAGAGCUUAGUGAUCAUGUGUAAAAACAUCAUGCAGGCUUGCCGCCUUCGUUUCUCUUUCUUCAGAUGAUGAUCCCAAGCCUUCUGGCGAUCUCUUAAAAACAAAGCCUCAUUCUUUCAGAAAAGAGGGUUUUUUAAGAAAACAGCAGCUUUAUACUCAGUGUGGUUCUCUCUUAAGAGCCUCCUUUUUCUAUGAAAAGGUAAGUUUAUUUAAAAGCGUGCUUUUUGUUUGAGAGUUUACCUUAUUUAAUUUAAGAGUUUUCUCUUUUAUCUAAGAGUUUUCCGGGGAAGGUUUUCCGGUUUAUCCCGGAGGGCUUGUAGCUCAGUUGGUUAGAGCGCGCGCUUGAUAAGCGUGAGGUCGGAGGUUCAAGUCCUCCCAGGCCCACCAAGUUAGAAUUUACUUGUUGGAAUUGCUUAACCCACUGUUGAGAAACUCCCUCCUUUAUGAGAGAAGUUCUAAAAAUGAGAAAAGCUCUUGAGAGCCUCAAAUGACAGACUUCAAAUUCUCGAUAAACUUUAAAAGUGUUCGUAAAAUGUUCAUGAUAUAUUUUAUGAAAAUAUUGAGAGAUUUGCCAGAUGCACUCGAUAAAUCUUGGCAAGAAGAUUGAUAAAUAUCGGUUUGAGGGUUAGCGCUUUCAUUUAGGGGCCGUAGCUCAGCUGGGAGAGCACCUGCUUUGCAAGCAGGGGGUCGUCGGUUCGAUCCCGUCCGGCUCCACCACUUUAGGUCAUCAUCGUUGUUGUGAGAACCGUCUUUAGUGAGAGGUUUUAUAAUCUUUCGCUCGUUCUAUUGAAAUUGUGAAGAGAAGAUAUAUUCAGACAUGUUCCUUUGGGGGUGUUUGUUUUGAAAGAACACAAGUUUUUUAAAAAAAAUGCUUGUGAUCAGGAAAAAUACACCAUCGGGAAAGAAACCCCAAAAGGGUCUCUCAAAGAAACCCAAGAAAGAAACCCAAAGAAACAUUGUGUCGCAAGGGAAUGCUCAAAGCCCUUGCUUAUGAUUGGAAGCUUAACCGCGCCAUUGAAUAUAUCUCGAGAAGCUGGUCUUUUCUGCUGAUAUUUUGUUUGUUUUGCCCUUUUUGUUUUGCACAAGGCAAAAAAGGAGACAAACGGUGAAUGAAUAUCGGCAAUAGAACGAUCAA
rnacentral:misc_RNA from 1 species